GAAGCAGAGUCGUCAACGCAGUCUAUUAAUAUUCUAAUUUCAGCAACCCCAAGAAUUCUAUUAAUAAUUUGUUCUCAGACACAUUUGCAAUUUCAGCAAAUUUAGAACCACAAGAAUUUGUUGCCGUAUACAUUUAUAAUUUCAGCCCUAAGGAAUUGUUCUUAGAUCCAUACAAAUCGAACAGGACUAGAGCAAAUUGACAUAUCAGAACGGCUAGAUGGAACAGGACUAGAGCAAAUUGACAUAUCAGAACGGCUAGAUGGAACAGGACUAGAGCAAAUUGACACCAAUGCCUAGUGUAAGCAGUUUGCACGCCGGCUUCAAAAGGGAGGUAUGCCUAGUGUAAGCAGUUUGCACAGUGAUCCAACCUCAUUGUCCUACUUCUAGUAGGCUGGUUAAUUCUCGCAUUGCCUAGUGUAAGCAGUUUGCACAGCAACAGACACCAAUGCCAUGACUCACAGAGAGACCAGCUCCGUCGAGUUGAAGAGCUCCGGCGGGAUCUCGGUCAGAUUCCAGAAUCCAGUGAUGUUCCUGCAUGAUCCAGAGCCCAGCCGUCAAUCCACAAGCAAAGGCACCGGGAAAACUGAAAAGCCAGAGGCCUCGGGCGAGCGGGGAAGACAGGGAACGAACAGGUGCGUGAUGCGGCACACGGG
rnacentral:lncRNA from 1 species